rnacentral:rRNA from 1 species
AGCGAACGCUGGCGGCAGGCUUAACACAUGCAAGUCGAGCGGGCGAUGGCGGGUUGCAGCGGCGGACGGGGGAGGAAGGCGGGGGAACGUGUACUCUGGUUCGUGAUAACUCAGGGUAACGUGAGCUAAUACGGGAUACGCCCGUAUGGGGAAAGGCUUGCUGACGUAGGAUCGGUCCGCGCCUGAUUAGCUAGUUGGUGAGGUAACGGCUCACCAAGGCGGCGAUCAGUAGCCGGUCUGAGAGGAUGAUCAGCCACACUGGUACUGAGACACGGCCCAGACUCCUACGGGAGGCAGCAGUGGGGAAUAUUGGACAAUGGGCGCAAGCCUGAUCCAGCCAGGCCGGGUGAGCGAUGAAGGCCUUAGGGUUGUAAAGCUCGUUUAUCCGGGACGAUAAUGACGGUACCGGAGGAAUAAGCCCCGGCUAACUUCGUG